UGAGAGAAAAUUUUGGCAAUUAUUAGCCCUAGAAACUACCAAGAGAUACAGAAGAGAUGAAACAUAAACACAUAUAUUGCAUUAUGUUCUUGUAAACAACACAUAAUGUGUUUGUAACCAAUACAGGUAAACUUUACUUUGCGUCAGUUUGGUAGGUAUCUUUUUUUUUUCUUUGUGUGUAGCUCCAGCUCUCCUAGACUUGCUCUGUAGACCACAUUGGCCUCCAACUCAGAGAUCUGCCCACUCCUCCUUCCAGAGUGCUUUUUGCUUUGAUGGAAGGGUAGCCGGACUCCAAAGAUGCUAUGCAGGGAGGAUGACUUGAUGUGAUUCCGGUUUUCAAAUUAUUGUUCAGACUAUCUAGUCGAGAUGCCAACCAUGCACUCCCAGCCCAGCUGGUUUGCAUGUGCUGAAGUCAGAGGACAACCUAAGUUGUUUCUCUCCUGCCGGGUGGGUCCCUGGAAUCUACCUCAAGCCGUCAAACGCGUUUACCCACUGAGCCAUCAGAGGGUAGCAUCUUUUCCCUACAAUUAUGUGUAUUUAUUUUUGAUACUGAGGGACAGAGUCUCGCUGUGUAGUUCGGAACUUGCUCUGUACCCAAGCAUGGUCUUGAGCUGUUCAUCCUCCUGCCUCCAUUUCCCGAGUGCUAGAACUAUAGUCAUGAGCCAUCAAGCUCAACCAAAGUUUUUUGAGUUGAUGGUAAGAAUAGUGGGACUCCAAGGAUGCCUUGCAGGGAUGUGCUUCAGGUUUUAAAUUAUUAUUCAGGUCACCUCGCCGGGAAUGGAUGGUCAGGCCUUAUACUCUAUUAACAGAGAACAAGAAUUGCAGUCGAGUCUAAAGAUGACAGGUGGCCUGGCCUUGCUUGUGGUGCUGUUCUUUAAAAAAGUGGAGAAAAGCAGGAAUAUAUGAAAGGCAGACUGUGGGACUCGAUGGCCAAAUGAAAGUGACAGGCAGGACAGAUUUUCCUUCAUCCCUGGGUGGCCUUAAUUGGGAGCCACUCAAUACUAAUCUGAGACCCAGAUCAGAGAACUGACCUGAAAGAGCUUUCAGAAGGGGAGGAUGAAAGCGCGUAGUGUGACCAAGAUACUGGGCUCUGUUUCACAAACGGAGAAACUGAGGCACCCGAGACCAGAGGACCGAGUCCGGGUGCCUAGGAGGGUCAGAGUGUCCGCGCGCUGGGAACCUGGAAAACGCCGCUGCACUCCGGGUUCCGCCCCUCGGCGAGCUCCUCGCUUCGGAGGCCCAAUAAAGUUAUUGAAAUUGACGCGGUUGCUAAGGAAGUGGGUCGCCGAGCCGGGUUGCUAAGGAAGUGAGCGCCGCGGUCUCUCCCCAUCCGGGGCAGCUGGGAAUGGCUGAGCCCCGGGUUCGCCGCCGCCGCCCGCUCUCGGCUGCGGCCGCAGAACCUUAGCAUCCUGAGCCAUUUUGGAUUUGUAGCCCUUGAGGCUAAACUGGUCAGAGUUCAUCAUGUCCAAGUUAAAAAGCUCAGAAUCAGUCCGGGUGGUGGUCCGCUGUCGGCCCAUGAAUGGCAAAGAAAAGGCUGCAUCUUAUGACAAGGUGGUAGAUGUGGAUGUGAAGCUGGGGCAGGUGUCUGUGAAGAACCCCAAAGGCACAUCCCAUGAGAUGCCCAAGACCUUCACCUUCGACGCUGUGUAUGAUUGGAACGCCAAGCAGUUUGAGCUCUAUGAUGAGACGUUCCGACCACUCGUGGACUCUGUGCUGCAGGGUUUCAAUGGCACAAUUUUUGCCUAUGGACAAACAGGAACUGGGAAAACCUAUACCAUGGAGGGAGUUCGUGGUGACCCUGAAAAAAGAGGGGUCAUCCCCAACUCCUUUGAUCACAUCUUCACCCACAUCUCUCGAUCUCAGAAUCAGCAGUACCUGGUCCGGGCGUCUUACUUAGAGAUCUAUCAAGAAGAGAUUCGAGACUUGCUUUCAAAGGAUCAGACCAAAAGGCUAGAGCUCAAAGAGAGACCAGAUACAGGAGUGUAUGUAAAGGAUUUGUCUUCUUUUGUCACGAAGAGUGUGAAGGAGAUAGAGCAUGUGAUGAAUGUGGGAAACCAGAACCGGUCUGUCGGUGCUACAAACAUGAAUGAGCACAGCUCACGGUCGCAUGCAAUCUUUGUUAUCACUAUUGAAUGCAGCGAGGUGGGCCUGGAUGGUGAAAACCACAUCCGGGUAGGAAAGCUGAAUCUUGUAGAUCUUGCUGGCAGUGAGCGGCAAGCCAAGACUGGAGCUCAAGGGGAAAGACUGAAGGAAGCCACCAAGAUCAACCUGUCCCUUUCCGCCUUGGGUAAUGUUAUCUCUGCCCUUGUAGAUGGCAAAAGCACCCAUAUUCCAUAUAGAGACUCAAAGCUGACCAGGCUUCUCCAAGAUUCCCUUGGUGGCAAUGCCAAAACUGUGAUGGUAGCCAAUGUGGGGCCUGCCUCUUACAAUGUAGAAGAGACCCUGACCACUCUGAGAUAUGCCAACCGUGCCAAAAACAUUAAGAACAAGCCAAGGGUCAAUGAGGACCCAAAGGAUGCUCUGCUUCGAGAAUUCCAAGAAGAAAUUGCUCGGCUCAAGGCCCAGCUGGAAAAACGUUCCAUUGGCAGGAGGAAGAGGCGAGAGAAGCGGAGGGAAGGUGGUGGCAGUGGUGGGGGUGGGGAAGAGGAGGAGGAGGAGGGAGAAGAGGGUGAGGAGGACGGGGAUGAUAAGGAUGAUUACUGGCGGGAACAGCAAGAAAAACUGGAGAUUGAGAAGCGGGCCAUUGUAGAGGACCACAGCUUGGUUGCAGAGGAGAAGAUGAGGCUGCUGAAGGAGAAGGAGAAAAAGAUGGAGGACCUGCGGCGAGAGAAGGAUGCUGCAGAGAUGCUGGGUGCCAAAAUCAAGGCCAUGGAGAGUAAGCUGCUUGUCGGAGGAAAAAAUAUAGUAGAUCAUACAAACGAACAGCAGAAGAUCCUGGAGCAAAAACGCCAGGAGAUCGCAGAGCAGAAACGUCGAGAAAGAGAAAUCCAGCAGCAAAUGGAGAGUCGAGAUGAGGAGACCCUGGAACUGAAAGAGACUUACACCUCACUGCAGCAGGAGGUAGACAUCAAGACCAAAAAGCUCAAAAAGCUCUUUUCCAAGCUUCAGGCCGUGAAGGCCGAGAUCCACGACCUCCAAGAAGAACACAUCAAAGAGCGCCAGGAGCUGGAGCAGACGCAGAAUGAACUCACCCGGGAGCUAAAGCUCAAGCAUCUUAUUAUAGAAAACUUUAUUCCCUUGGAAGAGAAGAAUAAAAUUAUGAAUAGAUCCUUUUUUGAUGAUGAAGAAGACCAUUGGAAAUUACAUCCUAUAACCAGACUGGAAAACCAGCAGAUGAUGAAGCGGCCUGUCUCUGCUGUGGGAUACAAGAGACCUCUGAGCCAGCAUGCACGGAUGUCCAUGAUGAUUCGGCCAGAGCCCCGGUACAGGGGCACAGGCAUGACCAAAAGUGGGAUUGAAAGCAGUGACUCGAUGUUUAGUAAUCAGCCGGCUUUACUGGAGAAAUUCUGUGCACUGUCUGGAUAUUUAAAGCUGAUGAUUGUGGCCCAUGACCCCCACCCUCACCCCACACCCCGGACGCAGCUGUCAAGUGGCACAAGGACACACUCUGUCUGUGUACAAGUUGUCUUCAGAGUUAGGCAGGGCUCGUUCACCGUGAUGCUCUGUGGAGGCAGUUCACAAGCCGACUAUGAAGCAGAAGCUAGUCCUUCAGUGGGGCAAGCACAUGCUUGUCCUGCAUUCACUUCCAGGGACACAGAUGCUGCUGCCUGCAAACAGCUGGAACAUCUGUGCGGAGAACAUCAUGCUCUUGGAGUUAGAUAUGCCCAGCCGGACAACCAGAGACUACGAGGGCCCAGCCAUCUCUCCCAAGGUUCAGGCUGCGCUGGAUGCAGCUCUGCAGGAUGAAGAUGAGAUACAGGUGGAUGCCUCAUCCUUUGAAAGUACUGCCAGCAGAAAACCCAAGGCCAGGCCCAAGAGUGGCAGGAAAUCAGGAUCCUCCUCUUCCUCCUCAGGAAACCCUGCAUCUCAGUUUUACCCACAGUCUCGGGGGCUGGUUCCCAAGUAACCCAGCACCCACUCCCAGGAUGGGAACAGCAUUGUCUUCUGAGAGAAGAGCGAGCACAAUACUGCAGAGAUGACUUGAGCCUAAACGCAGAACCAUUCCCCUGAGGAGGAGUGAUAGCCUCUUUGCAGAUUAGCUAACUUAAUCUGCCCGAACAUGCUGGUCCUGAUGUGGCACUCAGUUCCUCUGGGAAGUGUCCUUUAAUUAGCAUCUCAGAAUGCAUGGGUAAGGUAAACUGCAAAGUCCAAGUGGACAGCAAGAGAAUGACCAUGACCUUGCUUUCCUUCUUUCUCCCUUCCCUCCUCACCCUCCCUUCCUCUCCUCUUCUCUAGCCUCUUCUUCACACCAGCCUCCCUUCUUGUUAAACAAUAUGGAGACGAGGCCUCCUUAGGACUGUGUGUGGAGCCUUGGCCUUAAGUGGCAGUGGGGCUGAGAAAUGAAAGCCCUAGAACUUGAAUAGGUGCCUGCCUCUGUCAGGUAAAAUGAGAUAUCUCACUUGGAACCAAGCCCCAGGACGGCACGAUGAGAGAGCGAUCCAGCUUCCAGGCCCCUCAGUAGGAGUAGAUCUACCUGGAAUCGGUUGAAUGGGGCAGUGGCUUCCAGUUCCUGUUCCAGAAGGACUUGGUGUUGGAAGCAAUAGAAAAGACAUUCCCUUUGCCCCCUGGGAGAGUUUGGGGAAAUAGCUUUUUUAAAAUCUCAAAACCAUGACCAUCCUGUUAAAGACCUAAGUCUAUAAACCAGUGCCAUGUCCAUCUACCAUGUCACUUUACUCAUUUGUCACCGUCUUUCCCCAAGUACACAUGCUCUGUCUGAGUGGACUCAUGUAGACCCACCUACAGAGUGUGCCUAUAGAGUGUGCCUGGAGGUGGGGAAGGGGAAGCCAGCUCUGCCUUCUCUGAUGGGAGCAGAGUUGGGGGAAGGCAUCAGCAGGGCACUUGUGAAUUGCCCACAAGGGUCCAUACUGUCCUGGGAGCAGAAGAGUGAGGAGGCAGAUGCAGACUAGCAGCAAGAGACUCAGAGCAGGAGGAAGGGCAGAUAGCAGUGGAAGCAAAGGAAUCCUGUCUGCCUGGAGCAGAAGCCACUGACUUCUGCGAGUGUGGCUCCCCUGGGUGGAGAGGAGCCGUAGGUGCUGGCAAGAAGAGGCUCUGAGUAGGCUCAGAGGGGAGUCCACACCUCCUGUUUACAUAGACUAGUUUGGUUUAUAAGUUUUAGUUCUUCAUGUUACGGCACCUCAAGCUUUGCUUUAUGUUGGUCAUUAGGUGACAGUUACUCAUUUUCCCCAAGAGAAAUAAAUGCAUGAGUGUGUGGGGCUGCCUGUGCACAGUAGUGCCUGUGCUCUGGGUGUGUCUCUAAGAGAGACUGAAAACUUGCCCGGUUUUAGAAAUACUCCAGCGUCCAGUGUUUGCCUUUGUCUGUGUGAAAGGCCCACAGAAUGACUAAUCCAGGCUAGAAGCACGCACCCCCCAUGAAGUGUCUUGAGUCCAUGAUCCAAACCUGAGGGGACAGUCUGAGUCCUCAAGUCUGCCACACUGGUGUACCUUGCUGGCAUGGUGCCUCAGGAAGAUGGCAACUCAGGUGGCUUUGAGAUACGUUUUAACUCAGCUACUUGGUCUCCAGGUACAUUUCUGGACAGAGCCCAUGGAAGGAGGAGUAACGUGCAAUGUCUUGACAUUCUUUAUCACAUCACGGAGAUCCAUGGAUCUUCUUGGUAGCUUCCUUUCUGAGCCCAGAGCCCUAUUCAGUUCCUAGGAUGGAAUGGAACCUGUCUCAUCUUUUCUUGGUCUCAAACCCUGCUUCUUCCUUGUGUCCUAAGAGUUUGCUUGUUUGACUAGGAACCAAAUGAGGAGACAUGUGCUCUAAGGUGGCUGUUUGCUGGUGACACUUGUCUCUUACAUUUCCUCACAGCUAGUCUAAAUUCUGGAGGCUGAAAACAUUUGUGUACCAAAACAGGGGAUUGCAAACUUCAGGUACGAUCAUACCUUAAUGCUGGUGUCGUGAAGUGGUUAAUGUUCGAGUGGCGGGGGUUAAGUGACGCAUAGAACUUUUCCAAGAAGACAAAAGGAAAAAAAAAUCUGGAAGACAUGAUUAUUAAAGCAAGCCUGCCCUGUCCUCUGCUGGGUUCCUACAGUGGUCUGUGGACACCAAGUGGAAGGCCACCCAUGUGGUGAUGAAGCUGUCCCUUCCCGGGCAGCGUCUGGUGCUUCUCUUUUCUCAAUACGGAUCCGAUACUGAAGAGAGCAGAUGGUAAAAAUGUCUUGCUGUCCCCAGAAUGCUGCUGCUCUGAGUUCUGAAUUGAGCCAAGAGUCUAGAGGAUAUGACAAGCUCACUGAGGGACCAAAGCUUUAUGCUGUUAGUUAUCUAGCUGAGAUUCUGGAAGGCCUCCAUGCCUGCAGUAGCUACUGUAGUCUAGAAGCAAAUCUUUAAAAGGAUCUAAGAAGACCAUCUGGGAGGAGUUUGAGGCUGCGCAUACAAUCCUCUUGGGACUCUCUUCCUCUGUUCAGUAGAAUGUAUCUGAAAUUGUAACAGCUGACACAAUUUCCAGAUCCUUACACUCAGAAUCAGAGUCCCCAAACCAUAGGCAUGAAGCACUUUGUAAGACUGACCUACAUUGACUUGCUCCCUGUCUGAUGCCUGCAUGCUGCCUGAAUUGUUCCACCUACAUCUCCAUGACCAUGGUGCCAGAGUGCAGUACAGCUCAGGCACAGGCCACUUGUCUGCUCUUCCCUGAAGUCCUCCUUCACUGAAUGUAGACUCUGCCAAGUUUCUGAGAAGCGUCGAACCCCUGCUAACGUAGGCUAUCAGUUCUGCCUCACUUUGGCCUCUCGAAUUUGAGGGGUACUGCGAGCAUCUUGGACCAUCCAGACACCAUCUGUGAAUGAAAUGGGCUACUGAUGUACUCCAAAAGCCAUAAUGAAAAAAUCUCAGAGGGAUCUAGGUAAGAACGGAAUGCCCCACAUUUACCAUGCAAGUCUUGGUCUGAUACUUUAAGAUUCUAGCACCUUCCUCUCUGCCCUGAUAUGGGCAGGCAGGAGGUGGGCGGGGCUUGAUGGCUCUUUGGAGUUCCUGUUGAUCUUGACCUUCUCUUUGGCUGUCUUUAGAUACAGGAUAUGCCAGUACUUGGGACUCUCUAAGUUUUACAAUUGAUAUUUAUUUGUAUUAUCUCUUUGUCUAGCAAUGUAAAAGUGAUUCUAAACUAAAAUGUGUAAUAAAAAUCAAUCAAAUUUAUUGUAUCUACAAA